rnacentral:rRNA from 1 species
UAGGGAAUAUUAGAAAUGGACGAGAGUCUGAUCUAGCAACACCGCGUGUGCGAAGAAGGCCUUCGGGUCGUAAAGCACUUUUUGGAAGGAAUAGGAAGGAAUGUACUUCCAGAAUAAGUCUCGGCUAACUACGUGCCAGCAGCCGCGGUAACACGUAGGAGGCGAACGUUAUCCGGAUUUACUGGGCGUAAAGCGCGUGUAGGUGGUUCUGUAAGUAGGGCGUGAAAGCUCCUGGCUCAACUGGGAGAGGCCGUUCUAAACUACAGAACUAGAGGAUGGUAGAGGGAGGUGGAAUUCCAGGUGUAGCGGUGGAAUGCGCAGAUAUCCGGAGGAACACCAGUGGCGAAAGCGGCCUUCUGGACCAAAUCUGGCGCUCAGACGCGAAAGCUAGGGUAGCGAACG